UACGAAGGGUGCAAGCGUUACUCGGAAUUACUGGGCGUAAAGCGUGCGUAGGUGGUGAGUUAAGUCUGUCGUGAAAGCCCCCGGGCUCAACCUGGGAAUGGCGAUGGAUACUGGCUCGCUAGAGUGCGGUAGAGGAGAGUGGAAUUCCCGGUGUAGCAGUGAAAUGCGUAGAGAUCGGGAGGAACAUCAGUUGCGAAGGCGGCUCUCUGGACCGAUACUGACGCUGAGGAGCGAAAGCGUGGGGAGCGAACAGG
rnacentral:rRNA from 1 species